AAUAAAUCAACAUUGUCAAGUAAUUGUUUUGUGUUAUGCUGGCAGAGAGAGGCCUGCUCAAGUGUGACUAGAGUCUCUAAACUUUGUCAGAUACUUGAAGUGGAAUUUUAAAACUAAAACAAUGUAGAAUAUGAGAAUAGACGCUUGCAAAUUGGCUCACAAUAGUCUCCACAGUGUGUGUGUGUGUGUGUGUGUGUGUGUGUGUGUGUGUGUGUGCGUGUGUGUGUGUGUGUGUGUACCCAUCAGUGGGUGGGGUGAGGUAUAUAAACCACAUUUCUGCGCUCUGUUCUGCUUCACUCUGAAGCUAAACUUCAGCGUCACAUCACUGAAUCACUAAACAAGCUGAGCAGGAAGUCGUCCUGAAGCCAGUUCUUUCCUGAAAAGGAAUGAAGGAUCUUUCACAGCAGUUUCACACCGAAAGUCAGCAAGCGAUGAAUUUUUCUGGUUUUAUCAUAUGGACUAACUUCAUGUUCUGCCUUCCUUUGACCUUACUGGUCAUCUGUUGGUUGUGUUGCUUGGUGAAAAAGGAGCAUGUGAUCUAUUUCACUAACCUCCUCAUUGCCAAUCUCGCCCACAUCAGCAUAAUGUUCUCCUGGCAGUUGAACAAAGAACCUGUAAUUGACCAAGAUGACAGUAUUUGCAUAGCUGGUUUGAUGGCUAGUUGGUAUUUCAAGACAUACAUUGCUAUUGAAAGGUGUUUUGUCAUCACCUGCCCAAAGUUGAAGUGCAGCAAACAAACUCAGGGAUCCAUGCUGGUUUCUCUCUUGAUUUGGAUCUUUUGUAUUGUAACUGUAGUUCCUAUAGUAGUCUUCAAGAAGUUUUUUAUCCUCUAUAUUUUUGCCCUCCUUCCAGCUCUCCUGUUCAUCCUGUUUUUAGUAUGGACCUUCCACGCCUUGGCUGCUGACACCUUAGUGCCCACUGAGGAAAAACAAAGAAUUGUACGAAUUUUCCUUUUGUUCUUCUUUAAUUAUUUUCUGAUGAUCCUUCCUGGUGUCAUCUGUUCUAUUGGAGUAUUUUUGGCUCAACCUUGCUUUCAAGUUAUCAUUGAUAAACUUUUGACUUUGUUGCUUCUCGGCCCUUUUCUGGAUUUGAUUCUGGUUUGUUUCAUGCAUAUAAGAUGCAGAUUCGACAGCACUGCACCAGAUGUAGCUGAACAUCGGCCGCCAGGCUGGGUGAUGUCGCAAAUACUAAGGGACAGAGAAAAUAGGGUGUAA
rnacentral:lncRNA from 1 species